GAACUUGUAGUUUAUUUAGAAUAUUGCACUUACAAUGCAAAGGUAAAGAAGUUUU
rnacentral:tRNA from 1 species